ensembl:lncRNA
CUUUGAAAUGAGCAUGUCCAUGUGGCUUAGGCUAUGUCUCAAUCAGCUCCUAGUUCAGUAGUCAGGGCAAUGACCAAGGAGUCAACCAUUUUAAGGCCUGUCUCAAUCACAAAAUCCUGCCGGUGCACUGGGACAUUCGCUCCCUAUAAAAAUCCCACAAUGCACACAAAAAACAGGGAGCAUCGAUGCUCACAAUGUUCCCUUACUGGAUAUGACAUGCUUUCUGAAUGGUGGACAGACUCUUAGCCAACUUCCAUUUACAAAUAAAUGAUCGCGCAACCAUGGGGGCAUUAACUACAGUAUAUGCAGGUAAUUUGCAUGCUCUUGAUUGGAACAUCCAGGAAAUGGACUUAAGCAGGGUCAUUUGGGAGCUGGAACCCAGGGAACUCGGGGCACACGGCAGGGGACCCCCUGGAUGGGGUGCAACACAUCGCAGGACACAAUCGUUCAUAUACUGAUACACUACGGACAAUUUGAAAAUGCCAAUAGUGCAUGUCUUUGGAUUGGGGGAGGAAACCGGAGUACCCAGAGGAAACCCUGAAGCAUGGGGUGAACAUACAAGCUCUGCGGAGGCAAGAAUCAAACCCCCAACCCUGAAGGUGUGACGCAAACUCGCU